GGGAGGCAGCAGUGAGGAAUAUUGGUCAAUGGGCGAGAGCCUGAACCAGCCAAGUAGCGUGAAGGAUGAAGGCUCUAUGGGUCGUAAACUUCUUUUAUAUGGGAAUAAAGUAUUCCACGUGUGGAAUUUUGUAUGUACCAUAUGAAUAAGGAUCGGCUAACUCCGUGCCAGCAGCCGCGGUAAUACGGAGGAUCCGAGCGUUAUCCGGAUUUAUUGGGUUUAAAGGGAGCGUAGGUGGAUUGUUAAGUCAGUUGUGAAAGUUUGCGGCUCAACCGUAAAAUUGCAGUGGAAACUGGCAGUCUUGAGUACAGUAGAGGUGGGCGGAAUUCGUGGUGUAGCGGUGAAAUGCUUAGAUAUCACGAAGACUCCGAUUCGAAGCAGCUCACUAGACUGUCACUGACA
rnacentral:rRNA from 1 species